UACGUGAGGGGGCUAGCGUUGUCCGGAUUUGAUUGGGCGUAAAGAGCGUGUAGGCGGCCAGGUAGGUCUGGUGUGAAAACUCGAGGCUUAACCUCGAGAUGUCAUCGGAACCAUCUGGCUAGAGUCCGGAAGAGGAGAGUGGAAUUCCUGGUCGUAGCGGUGAAAUGACGCAGAUAUCAGGAAGAACACCAAUGGCGAAAGCAGCUCUCUGGGACGGUACUGACGCUGAGACGCGAAAGCGUGGGGAGCGAACAGG
rnacentral:rRNA from 1 species